GGUGAACGCUGGCGGCGUGCUUAAGACAUGCAAGUCGAACGGCAGUCUUCGGACUGUAGUGGCGCACGGGUGAGUAACGCGUAACUGACCUACCCCAAAGUCGCGGAUAACGAUUCGAAAGAAUCGCUAAUACGUGAUGUGCUGUCAGAUUGUGUUCUGCCAGUAAAGAUUGAUUGCUUUGGGAUGGGGGUGCGUUCCAUCAGCUAGUUGGUGGGGUAAAGGCCCACCAAGGCGACGACGGAUAGCCGGCCUGAGAGGGUGGCCGGCCACAGGGGCGCUGAGACACGGGUCCCACUACUACGGGAGGCAGCAGUUAGGAAUCUUCCACAAUGGGCGAAAGCCUGAUGGAGCGACGCCGCGUGAGGGAUGAAGGUCUUCGGAUCGUAAACCUCUGAAUCAGGGACGAAAGACACUUCGGUGGGAUGACGGUACCUGAGUAAUAGCACCGGCUAACUCCGUGCCAGCCGCCGCCGUAAUAC
rnacentral:rRNA from 1 species